GGAUGAACGUUGGCGGUGUGCCUAAUACAUGCAAGUCGAACGGAGUUAAUAGCAAUAUUGACUUAGUGGCGAACGGGUGAGUAACGCGUUGGUGAUCUGCCUCAAAGUGUGGAAUAACGUUCCGAAAGGAACGCUAAUACCGCAUGUGCUCUCGGUUUUUAGAAAGUUGAGAGUAAAGGAUUUAUUCGCUUUGAGAGGAGCCUGCGUCCCAUCAGCUAGUUGGUAGGGUAAUAGCCUACCAAGGCUUUGACGGGUAGGGGACCUGAGAGGGUGGCCCCCCACAAUGGAACUGAAACACGGUCCAUACACCUACGGGUGGCAGCAGUAGGGAAUAUUAGAAAUGGACGAAAGUCUGAUCUAGCGACACCGCGUGUGCGAUGAAGGCCUUCGGGUUGUAAAGCACUUUUUGGAAGGAAUAGGAAGGAAGGUACUUCCAGAAUAAGUCUCGGCUAACUACGUGCCAGCAGCCGCGGUAACACGUAGGAGGCAAACGUUAUCCGGAUUUACUGGGCGUAAAGCGCGUGUAGGUGGUUCUGUAAGUAGGGCGUGAAAGCUCCCGGCUCAACUGGGAGAGGCCGUUCUAAACUACAGAGCUAGAGGAUGGUAGAGGGAGGUGGAAUUCCAGGUGUAGCGGUGGAAUGCGCAGAUAUCUGGAGGAACACCAGUGGCGAAAGCGGCCUCCUGGACCAUUCCUGACACUCAGACGCGAAAGCUAGGGUAGCAAACGGGAUUAGAGACCCCGGUAGUCCUAGCCCUAAACGAUGUAGACUAGACGUCGGCGGUGUAAUAGCUGUCGGUGUCCAAGCUAACGCGAUAAGUCUACCGCCUGGGGACUACGGCCGCAAGGUUAAAACUCAAAGGAAUUGACGGGUCCCCGCACA
rnacentral:rRNA from 1 species